UGGGGAAUAUUGGACAAUGGGCGCAAGCCUGAUCCAGCCAUGCCGCGUGAGUGACGAAGGUCUUCGGAUUGUAAAGCUCUUUUUGGCGGGGACGAUAAUGACGGUACCCGCAGAAUAAGCCCGGCUAACUUCGUGCCAGCAGCCGCGGUAAUACGAAGGGGGCUAGCGUUGUUCGGAAUUACUGGGCGUAAAGCGCACGUAGGCGGACUGAUAAGUCAGGGGUGAAAUCCCGGGGCUCAACCUCGGAACUGCCUUUGAUACUGUUAGUCUCGAGUCCGGAAGAGGUGAGUGGAAUUCCUAGUGUAGAGGUGAAAUUCGUAGAUAUUAGGAAGAACACCAGUGGCGAAGGCGGCUCACUGGUCCGGUACUGACGCUGAGGUGCGAAAGCGUGGGGAGCGAAAC
rnacentral:rRNA from 1 species